rnacentral:tRNA from 1 species
GCGAGGGUUGCCGAGCUAGGUCAAAGACGCAGGACUUAGGAUCCUGUCCUUAGUGGUUCAUGGGUUCGAAUCCCAUCCCUCGCA